UUUGUCCUUAACUGACUUGCCUAGUUAAAUAAAGGAUCAGAUAAAUAGGACCCCGGGGGGAGCUAACGGCAGGAAGGAGUUGUUACGAGUGCUCUUAUUAUUUUACAGAUCGACAGGCAUCCCAAAUGGCACCUUAUUCCCUUUAUAGUGCCCCCCUUUUGACCAGGGCCCAUAGGGCUCUAUGUAGGGAAUAGGGAUCCAUUUGAUAGGGUUCCAUUUGAAAGGGUUCCAUUUGAUAGGGUUCCAUUUGAAAGGGUUCCAUUUGAAAGGGUUCCAUUUGAUAGGGUUCCAUUUGAUAGGGUUCCAUUUGAAAGGGUUCCAUUUGAAAGGGUUCCAUUUGAUAGGGUUCCAUUUGAAAGGGUUCCAUUUAGGAUGCAUACAGCCAUGUUCUUUAUGUUAUGAUAUAUAUGCUGUUGCAGCAGACUGUGGAUGUCUUCACAAGCAUUGGUCUAUCAAAAGCUAUGAGACUCUACUGACAACCUGUUGAGUUGUCCUCCUCUCUCCAUCAAAGCGUUGUUGCCUGUUAUGGUUUACUUCUAUUUGUAUUACUUUACUGUAAGCCGUUUCGAACCCCGUAUCUGUCCUUGCCUGAAGCCGACGUAUUCCACAAGCCACCUCCCAAACGACACCUUCAUCCUCCUGGGAGAUGAUCGACGUCCUCUGUGAAUAGCUGUAUAAAGGGAGAUAUUGGCCGUUUUUGAAAUAGGAGGCAUGGUGACUCUCAACAUGGAAUGAGAUAUAUAUAUAUAUAUAUAUAAAAUGAAGAAAUUAAAGGAUAGAGAAAGACGUUUUGAUAGAAUGACAUUCUGAGAAAAAAAAGUUGUGUAAAAAAUAAAAAAGUUAAUUUAAGAACUGUAUUAUAUAAGGAGAUGAAAAGGCUUAAUGUAUUUGUUGUGAAUAUUUAAAAACAGAUCUAUUAAAGAAGUGCAUGAAAACGGUUCUGUUUGUUUGUGUCUUUUAUUGUGAAUAUAAUGGCUAUUCAGCAUCAUAUUGGAUCAUUCUCAAAUGGGGGAUGGGGGGGCUUCUACUAAGGUAACAUGUGGAAUUGUUUCAAGAGUGUCAUACCAGGGAUCAAAACGAGGUUUAUUUGUCACGGGCGCUGAAUACAACAGGUGUAUCGACCUUACAGUGAAAUGCCGAAUACAACAGGUGUAGUAGACCUCACAGUGAAAUGCUGACUACAACAGGUGUAGUAGACCUUACAGUGAAAUGCUGAAUACAACAGGUGUAGUAGACCUUACAGUGAAAUGCUGAAUACAACAGGUGUAGUAGACCUCACAGUGAAAUGCUGAAUACAACAGGUGUAGUAGACCUCACAGUGAAAUGCUGAAUACAACAGGUGUAGUAGACCUGACAGUGAAAUGCUGAAUACAACAGGUGUAGUAGACCUUACAGUGAAAUGCUGAAUACAACAGGUGUAGUAGACCUUACAGUGAAAUGCUGAAUACAACAGGUGUAGUAGACCUCACAGUGAAAUGCUGAAUACAACAGGUGUAGUAGACCUUACAGUGAAAUGCUGAAUACAACAGGUGUAGUAGACCUCACAGUAAAAUGAUGAAUACAACAGGUGUAGUAGACCUCACAGUGAAAUGCUGAAUACA
rnacentral:lncRNA from 13 species